rnacentral:rRNA from 1 species
UACCAGCUCUCCGAGUGGUAGGGAUGAUUAUUGGGCUUAAAGCGUCCGUAGCCGGCUUAGCAAGUUUCCUGUUAAAUUCAGCGACCUAAUCGUUGAGCCGCGGGAAAUACUACUAGGCUAGGGGGCGGGAGAGGUCGACGGUACUUCUGGGGUAGGGGUGAAAUCCUAUAAUCCCGGGAGGACCACCAGUGGCGAAGGCUGUCGACUAGAACGCGCUCGACGGUGAGGGACGAAAGCUGGGGGAGCGAACCGGAUUAGAUACCCUGGUAGUCCCAGCUGUAAACGAUGCGGGCUAGGUGUUGGGGUGGCUACGUGCCACUUCAGUGCCGCAGGGAAGCCAUUAAGCCCGCCGCCUGGGGAGUACGGCCGCAAGGCUGAAACUUAAAGGAAUUGGCGGGGAGCACCACAAGGCGUGAAGCUUGCGGUUC